UCUCGCGUCAAGAUAUGCCUAGGUGGGAUUAGCUAGUUGGUGAGGUAAUGGCUCACCAAGGCGACGAUCCCUAGCUGGUCUGAGAGGAUGAUCAGCCACACUGGAACUGAGACACGGUCCAGACUCCUACGGGAGGCAGCAGUGGGGAAUAUUGCACAAUGGGCGCAAGCCUGAUGCAGCCAUGCCGCGUGUAUGAAGAAGGCCUUCGGGUUGUAAAGUACUUUCAGCAGUGAGGAAGGGGGUGUCGUUAAUAGCGGCAUCUCUUGACGUUAGCUGCAGAAGAAGCACCGGCUAACUCCGUGCCAGCAGCCGCGGUAAUACGGAGGGUGCGAGCGUUAAUCGGAAUUACUGGGCGUAAAGCGCAUGCAGGUGGUUUGUUAAGUCAGAUGUGAAAGCCCGGGGCUCAACCUCGGAACUGCAUUUGAAACUGGCAAACUAGAGUACUGUAGAGGGGGGUAGAAUUUCA
rnacentral:rRNA from 1 species